UACGGGGGGGGCAAGCGUUGUUCGGAUUCAUUGGGCGUAAAGGGCGCGUAGGCGGCGGGGUCAGUCGGGUGUGAAAUCUUGGGGCUUAACCCCGAAACGGCACUCGAAACUGCCCGGCUGGAGGGCCGGAGAGGAGAUCGGAAUUCACGGUGUAGCAGUGAAAUGCGUAGAGAUCGUGAGGAAGACCCGUGGCGAAGGCGGAUCUCUGGGCCGAUACUGACGCUGAGGCGCGAAAGCGUGGGGAGCGAACAGG
rnacentral:rRNA from 1 species